GACGAACGCUGGCGGCGUGCUUAACACAUGCAAGUCGAACGGAAAGGCCCUGCUUUUGUGGGGUGCUCUAGUGGCGAACGGGUGAGUAACACGUGAGUAACCUGCCCUUGACUUUGGGAUAACUUCAGGAGACUGGGGCUAAUACCGGAUAGGAGCUCCUGCUGCAUGGUGGGGGUUGGAAAGUUUCGGCGGUUGGGGAUGGACUCGCGGCUUAUCAGCUUGUUGGUGGGGUAGUGGCUUACCAAGGCUUUGACGGGUAGCCGGCCUGAGAGGGUGACCGGCGACAUUGGGACUGAGAUACGGCCCAGACUCGUACGGGAGGCAGCAGUGGGGAAUAUUGCACAAUGGGCGGAAGCCUGAUGCAGCAACGCCGCGUGCGGGAUGACGGCCUUCGGGUUGUAAACCGCUUUCGCCUGUGACGAAGCGUGAGUGACGGUAAUGGGUAAAGAAGCACCGGCUAACUACGUG
rnacentral:rRNA from 1 species